rnacentral:tRNA from 1 species
GGCAUGGUGGAGCAGUGGUAACGCCACCGACUGACAAUCGGUUGACCCGGGUUUGAUUCCGGCUAAAUAUCA